rnacentral:tRNA from 1 species
AGGUCGGUAGUUCAGCGGCCAGAACGUCGGUCUCCAAAACCGAAGACGCAGGUUCGAGUCCUGCCCGACCUGCCU